AAAAUGACCAGUGCUAGCCUGAAACCUAGGGGAAAACUUUCAUAAACAAGCUUCCUGUGUUUUUAAGCCUGGGUUGUUUCUGCAGACUUACGUGUUAUUGAAACACCUAUGCCUAAGGGACUAAAUGAAGAUAUGGGUCUUCAGGAUUGGUUCAGGAAAAUGAAUUCUAUGACGCUGCUGUAAAACCACCUCUGAUUGGGCCGAUCCACAGGCGGUGAUAACAAGUCUGAGAGGAUCUGAACCAGAAAAGUUGCCUCAUUCUGCAGAAAGA